GGUAUCACAUCAAGUAGUCAAUGUUUGUUUCAAUUGACAUUCAGAAUUGUUUACGUAUCUGAAAAUUUGAAAUGGAUUGUGAGGCUCAGGAGGAUUUGUUUUGCUGGCAUUUUGGCCCUUGUUUAUUAGCGAUAGAAAAAAAAGUUCCGGAAAUUGAAAACAGCCGGUUUUGAAGAACUUGAUAAUCACCGUUGGCAGAUGCGAUGUUUCAUGACCGAUGGCCAUCCAAGGGACAGAUCCAAUACAUAUGGAACCUAGAAAAUCAGUGUUUCGUUUAACGUUUUUAAGGCUGGCUGA